rnacentral:rRNA from 1 species
CCUACGGGCGGCAGCAGUGGGGAAUAUUGCACAAUGGGGGAAACCCUGAUGCAGCGACGCCGCGUGAGUGAAGAAGUAUCUCGGUACGUAAAGCUCUAUCAGCAGGGAAGAAAAUGACGGUACCUGACUACGAAGCCCCGGCUAACUACGUGCCAGCAGCCGCGGUAAUACGUAGGGGGCAAGCGUUAUCCGGAUUUACUGGGUGUAAAGGGAGCGUAGACGGCAGCACAAGGCUGGAGUGAAAUCCCCGGGGUUAACCCCGGAACUGCUUUGGAAACUGUGCGGCUGGAGUGCAGGAGGGGUAAGCGGAAUUCCUAGUGUAGCGGUGAAAUGCGUAGAUAUUAGGAGGAACACCGGUGGCGAAGGCGGCUUACUGGACUGUAACUGACGUUGAGGCUCGAAAGCGUGGGGAGCAAACAGGAUUAGAUACCCCAGUAGUC